UACGUAGGGUGCGAGCGUUAAUCGGAAUUACUGGGCGUAAAGCGUGCGCAGGCGGCUUCGCAAGUCGGACGUGAAAUCCCCGGGCUUAACCUGGGAACUGCAUUUGUGACUGCAAGGCUAGAGUGUGUCAGAGGGAGGUGGAAUUCCGCGUGUAGCAGUGAAAUGCGUAGAGAUGCGGAGGAACACCGAUGGCGAAGGCAGCCUCCUGGGAUAACACUGACGCUCAUGCACGAAAGCGUGGGGAGCAAACAGG
rnacentral:rRNA from 1 species